rnacentral:rRNA from 1 species
CCUACGGGGCGCAGCAGUGGGGAAUAUUGCACAAUGGGGGAAACCCUGAUGCAGCGACGCCGCGUGAGUGAAGAAGUAUUUCGGUACGUAAAGCUCUAUCAGCAGGGAAGAAAAUGACGGUACCUGACCAAGAAGCCCCGGCUAACUACGUGCCAGCAGCCGCGGUAAUACGUAGGUGGCGAGCGUUAUCCGGAAUGAUUGGGCGUAAAGGGUGCGCAGGCGAUCCUGCAAGUCUGGAGUGAAACGCAUGAGCUCAACUCAUGCAUGGCUUUGGAAACUGGAGGACUGGAGAGCAGGAGAGGGCG